AAAAGCUUGCUGCGGAUGAUUUUCUUGAUGCAAACUAGGAUGUUCUCAUCGGAGGAGCUCAGGGCCUCACUGUUGCUGGGAAUGGCUGCUGUUUUCAUCAGGGGAGCUCUGAUCUUUACUUAGACCUGUUUUGUAAGAAAUGUUAAAGGAAUUUCAUCAGAGAGAGGGAAAUUAUACAAGUCACAAACUUGGAUCUAGAUAAAGGAAGGAAGAGAGAAACAAUAUAAAGAAAUCUCCAGGUUAUUGCAACUUCAAGCAAAGUUUACAAACUUCUGACUUCAAAAAGGGGAAACCAUUUGGAAGGAUGGUGGCAUGUAUCUCCUCAUUACAAAGAAUGCUGAACUGAUACAGAAUAAGGGACUUGAAAAGCACCGUUUGCUUCUGCCCUGCAGUCUGAAGGAUCAUCUCUUGGGAGUGAACUGGAAAAUACUACAGGAUGUGUUCUAUUAAAUAAGUUCUGGGCUUGUAAUAAUCUCUUCUAUGGAACAUCAAAGGUCAUCCCUGAAGCAAUGUCAGUGACAGGUGCCCUCCUGGGAUGGGCAUCCUGGUUGGACUUUGCCAUUUGUAGCCAUCUCUUGAGCAAGGCCUACAUCUCUGCUCCCUCUUUCCUGGGACUACUCUUUAGAAUGCAUGGAAUGAAUCUGAUUUAGAUGCAAAUGAAGAGAGUACCACCUUGGACCAAGAGGAGACAUCAGCCAAGUAUGCUAUAACACAGAAAUGAAGGAAGACUUGCUACUUGACAUUAUGGAGCUACCACUCUGGCUGCUGCUGGCUGAUCUGUUGGGUUAGAAUGAUUACCUUUCUUAGUGAGGCCACUGUUAUGUUGGGGCUACAUUACAGAAGUCUAAAUAACAUUUUACCUAAUACCAGGGUCAUUAUGACUAUCCUAUUUACUGGAGAUAGCCUCUGAAGAUGCUUUCAGGAUAAAAAAAAAAAUAAAGGGCUUGGAAGA